GAACCGGCGGAAGGAUCAUUA
rnacentral:rRNA from 1 species